GACGAACGCUGGCGGCGUGCCUAAUACAUGCAAGUAGAACGCUGAAGGAGGAGCUUGCUUCUCUGGAUGAGUUGCGAACGGGUGAGUAACGCGUAGGUAACCUGCCUGGUAGCGGGGGAUAACUAUUGGAAACGAUAGCUAAUACCGCAUAAGAGUAGAUGUUGCAUGACAUUUGCUUAAAAGGUGCAGUUGCAUCACUACCAGAUGGACCUGCGUUGUAUUAGCUAGUUGGUGGGGUAACGGCUCACCAAGGCGACGAUACAUAGCCGACCUGAGAGGGUGAUCGGCCACACUGGGACUGAGACACGGCCCAGACUCCUACGGGAGGCAGCAGUAGGGAAUCUUCGGCAAUGGACGGAAGUCUGACCGAGCAACGCCGCGUGAGUGAAGAAGGUUUUCGGAUCGUAAAGCUCUGUUGUAAGAGAAGAACGAGUGUGAGAGUGGAAAGUUCACACUGUGACGGUAUCUUACCAGAAAGGGACGGCUAACUACGUG
rnacentral:rRNA from 1 species